rnacentral:lncRNA from 1 species
UCCACACACAGCUUGUUCCACUAAUUUCUCAGUGUGGUCAGUUACUUCAGUAACAGUAGUAAGAGGUACAGUUUCAUCCACAAAAGUGAUAAACUGCCCUUUAGGAGCAGAUAUCUUCAUUUCCAUCUUAAUGAAAUCCAUUUGUAUGGGGCUAUAUUUCCUCAACCAAUCUACUCCUAAGAUGAUGUCAUAGCCUUUUAACUUUAGUACUCUGAAGCUGUCAAUAAAUGCAUGGCCUUGUAUUGCAUAGUGACAGUUCUUUGCUUGGAAUUCACUCCAAAGGAUCCCUCCACUAGCAACUACUACUUUAGUUUUUGGUGUAGGACUGGGAACAACAUCCAACUUACUAGCCAUCUGAGGAGAUAUAAAAGUAGUAGUACUGCCACUGUCCACCAGUGCAAUUGCCAGAGUAUUUCCCAAUUUAACUGUCAAUAUGAAAGUAUUUUUAGUUGCUCCAAUGCCCAUGGCAGCAUGCAUUGAUACUUUCAGUACUGUUUCCUCAGUUAGCUGCUCUGUAUUGUCUAGCUCCUGAUCAUCAUAUUCUACCACAAAUAUAGUUUUAGGAGUUCCAUCUUCUUGAGCUUGUAGAGCUUGGAUUUGAGCUUUCUGGUUCAUUUUACACACUUGCCUAUGACCAGGCACCCAAGGCUCUCUACAUUUAUAACACACCUGGUUCUGUUUGGCCUGCUGAAUAACCACAUUCCUGUUUUGUGGUGCAGUUGGAAGCAGUUGUUUGGGCUGUUCAAAAAUGACUUGUCUUUUUGGUUGAGGAACAUACUGCUUAUUUUGCACUGACUGAGAGGAAGGCUGAGAUUUCUUCGUUCUUCUGGCAUACCACACUGCAGUUUGCAGAUCUUUUGGUUUAAAACAUUCCACUAAACUUCUGAUGUAAGGGUUGAGGCCUGAGACAAAGCUGGAGACAUAAUAGUCAUCAGGUAUAGCAGGGUUUUCUCUCCUCAUUCCAUUGACCAAUUGCUCAAAUUGUUCCACAUAAGCAGCCACUGUUGUUGCUUGAUGUGCAGCAUGAAAGUUACUGACCACAUCACAAGCUGAUUCCACAGAGAACCUAUCAGGUAGGUAAGAACAGAAUUUAUGCCAUGGCACAUUGGAGGGUGCAUAUCCAGUACCCCUCCACCACUGAAUAGCAGGUCCUUUAAGAUAAGAAAUUGCCAGUUCUGUUCUAUGUUCAAUGGGAGUUCUUGCAGCAGCAAAAUACUGUUCCAAAUUCUGAAUCCAUGACUCAGGAUCUUGUCCUUCAAAUUCUGAUAUGUUCAACUUAGCAGGCUUAACAGUCAGA